CGGUGUUCAACUGGCGUGUCCGCGGGACGUCCUGCCGGUGGGCUUAGCCCGCAAGGGCGGCCCAACUUCAAAUCCCAUCGCGGUGCUCUUCACUGAGUGUCGAGGUGGGCCGGCACGUUUACUUUGAACAAAUUAGAGUGCUUAAAGCAGGCUAAAACUUCGCCUGAAUACUGUGUGCAUGGAAUAAUGGAAUAGGACCUCGGUUCUAUUUUGUUGGUUUUCGGAACCCCGAGGUAAUGAUUAAUAGGAACGGAUGGGGGCAUUCGUAUUGCGACGUUAGAGGUGAAAUUCUUGGAUCGUCGCAAGACGGACAGAAGCGAAAGCAUUUGCCAAAAACGCUUUCAUUGAUCAAGAACGAAAGUUAGAGGUUCGAAGGCGAUCAGAUACCGCCCUAGUUCUAACCAUAAACGAUGCCAGCUAGCGAUCCGUCGACGUUCCUCCGAUGACUCGACGGGCAGCUUCCGGGAAACCAAAGCUUUUGAGUUCCGGGGGAAGUAUGGUUGCAAAGCUGAAACUUAAAGGAAUUGACGGAAGGGCACCACCAGGAGUGGAGCCUGCGGCUUAAUUUGACUCAACACGGGAAACCUCACCAGGCCCGGACACCGGAAGGAUUGACAGAUUGAGAGCUCUUUCUUGAUUCGGUGGGUGGUGGUGCAUGGCCGUUCUUAGUUGGUGGAGCGAUUUGUCUGGUUAAUUCCGAUAACGAACGAGACUCUAGCCUGCUAACUAGGCGUAUUUUCGACAUCUCAAAGGUCCGUCGUCCCGGCCCUCGGGUCGUGGGCGUGCGCGAUUUUUACUGUCGGCGUACUAUCAAUUCUUCUUAGAGGGACAGGUGGCUUCUAGCCGCACGAGAUUGAGCAAUAACAGGUCUGUGAUG
rnacentral:rRNA from 1 species